AGGAGCUAAUCUUGUAAACAAGCCUUUCCAAGGAUCGCAGUCAGGCCUGCUAUGCUGUCUCUUUUCUGCACACACCUCCACCCUUUCAAGGCCACUAGGAUCCUGCACUGUUAACCAGGACUUUCUCACGAACAUGGAUCUGCUUCUGGGGAAAGCAAAGACUGGAGAUGGAAAUUGCUGCUAUUGAAGAUGUGGAUGUGUGAUUGUGGACUAGGAAAUGCCUAAGGACCAGGUGUUAAUUCCAAGAGCACGUCCCAAUAAAUGCCCACAUGCCAAUCUCUGAUUCCAUCUGCUUUCCACAGAAUCCAACCUGCACCUGCAGACAGAGAGGAUUUGGACAGGGGUUAUAGCUACUCUUACAGAAGACAUAAGAAGAUAUAUACGCAGAGAAGACAUCAUAAGACCUGAAGAUGAAAAACUUCUGAUCACAGAAGAAAGAUAUACAACAGCCUUGAAGCAUUCUGAGAACCCAGUGAAGGCAAUAAUGUCUCUUCCCAGAGAAAUUCACAGGAGCAAGACACAGAAGACAUGGAGAUCCAUGUAGAAUCAUAAGAAGGUAAAGAAGAAGGAAAAAAUGUAGCCCCUAGAAGCUUGGAACUGCCCUCAGACUACAGCCAGGAAGCAGACAGGGACUUCAGUUCCACAGCCACAAGGAGCUGAAUUCUGCCAACCAGAAUGAGCAAGAACAUGGAUUCUCCCCUCAAGCCUCCAGAAAAGAAUGCAGCCUACAGUCAGCACUUUAAGUCCCAUGCAACCUAUAAUAGAUUUCUGACCUACAGAGCUUUAAUGUCAUAAAUUGGUGUUGUUUUAAGUCAUGAAGUUUGUGGUAGCUUCUUAUGACAGUAAUUGAAAACUAAUACCUGGUCUUUUUAGCAGAAUAACGAGCACCCUGUAAUGUGUCAUUCAUGCAUAUCUUUUUUUUUUUUUUUUUUUUGGUGGGGGCAGGAAGACAAAACUCUAGAGUUUAAUCUUCCAGCUGACUGACUUGGAAGUGUUCCUGUCAAUAUAAAAGAUCUUGUUGGGGG
rnacentral:lncRNA from 10 species